rnacentral:tRNA from 1 species
UCCCUGGCUGUGCAAUGGUUAGGGCUUGGUGCUUUUACUGCCAGGGCCCGGGUUCAAUCCCCGGCUGGGGAA